ACUCAAAUAGUUUAAUGAAAAUAUAAAUUUGUGGCAUUUAAGAUAUAAGAAUUUAUUUUGAGUA
rnacentral:tRNA from 1 species